rnacentral:rRNA from 1 species
AUUGAACGCUGGCGGCAGGCUUAACACAUGCAAGUCGAACGCAUCGCAAGAUGAGUGGCAGACGGGUGAGUAACGCGUGGGAACAUACCCUUUUCUACGGAAUGGCUCUGGGAAACUGGAAUUAAUACCGUAUACGCCCUACGGGGGAAAGAUUUAUCGGGGAAGGAUUGGCCCGCGUUGGAUUAGCUAGUGGGUGGGGUAAAGGCCUACCAAGGCGACGAUCCAUAGCUGGUCUGAGAGAAUGAUCAGCCACAUUGGGACUGAGACACGGCCCAAACUCCUACGGGAGGCAGCAGUGGGGAAUAUUGGACAAUGGGCGCAAGCCUGAUCCAGCCAUGCCGCGUGAGUGAUGAAGGCCUUAGGGUUGUAAAGCUCCUUCACCGAUGAAGAUAAUGACGGUAGUCGGAGAAGAAGCCCCGGCUAACUUCGUGCCAGCAGCCGCCGUAAGAC